GCUGGGCCCAGUGUUGCAUGCCUGUAAUCUCAGCGACUCGGGAGGCUGAGACAGGAGGAUCACGGUUCAAAGCCAGCCUCAGCAACAGUGAGGGGCUAAGCAAUUAAGUGAGACCCUGUCUCUA
rnacentral:sRNA from 1 species